rnacentral:rRNA from 1 species
AUUGAACGCUGGCGGCAGGCCUAACACAUGCAAGUCGAACGGUAACAGGAAACAGCUUGCUGUUUCGCUGACGAGUGGCGGACGUGUGAGUAAUGUCUGGGAAACUGCCUGAUGGAGGGGGAUAACUACUGGAAACGGUAGCUAAUACCGCAUAACGUCGCAAGACCAAAGAGGGGGACCUUCGGGCCUCUUGCCAUCGGCUGUGCCCAGAUGGGAUUAGCUAGUAGGUGGGGUAACGGCUCACCUAGGCGACGAUCCCUAGCUGGUCUGAGAGGAUGACCAGCCACACUGGAACUGAGACACGGUCCAGACUCCUACGGGAGGCAGCAGUGGGGAAUAUUGCACAAUGGGCGCAAGCCUGAUGCAGCAAUGCCGCGUGUAUGAAGAAGGCCUUCGGGUUGUAAAGUACUUUCAGCGGGGAGGAAGGGAGUAAAGUUAAUACCUUUGCUCAUUGACGUUACCCGCAGAAGAAGCACCGGCUAACUCCGUG